UGGGCUAUUAGCUCAGUUGGUUAGAGCGCACCCCUGAUAAGGGUGAGGUCCCUGGUUCAAAUCCAGGAUAGCCCAGC
rnacentral:tRNA from 1 species